GUUGAUUACCGGGCACUUAACAACAUCACACGCAAGGACGUAUCUCACAAGACCCAAGAUUGCGUCUACUGAUAAAGGUGCCCCGCGCAUCGUGUUGGAGUUCCCCAGCACGCACCCCCCUUCUGCUGGGUACGACGUCCACGCAUCAACUCAGCUGGCCGCCAGCUGUUGUAAUGCUGCAUACUACAAUAAAUAACUGCUUAAUAUGCCAAACUUUA